rnacentral:rRNA from 1 species
GGAGGCAGCAGUGGGGAAUAUUGCACAAUGGGCGAAAGCCUGAUGCAGCGACGCCGCGUGAGGGAUGACGGCCUUCGGGUUGUAAACCUCUUUCAGCAGGGAAGAAGCGAAAGUGACGGUACCUGCAGAAGAAGCGCCGGCUAACUACGUGCCAGCAGCCGCGGUAAUACGUAGGGCGCAAGCGUUGUCCGGAAUUAUUGGGCGUAAAGAGCUCGUAGGCGGUUUGUCGCGUCUGCUGUGAAAGCCCGGGGCUCAACCCCGGGUCUGCAGUGGGUACGGGCAGACUAGAGUGCAGUAGGGGAGACUGGAAUUCCUGGUGUAGCGGUGAAAUGCGCAAAUAUCAGGAGGAACACCGAUGGCGAAGGCAGUCUCUGUGCUGUCACUGACGCUUAGACUGAUCGCUUCCCC